CUACGGGGUGCUCCAGUGAGGAAUUUUGCGCAAUGGGGGAAACCCUGACGCAGCAACGCCGCGUGAGUGAAGAAGGCCCUUGGGUCGUAAAGCUCUGUCAAUGGGGAAGAAGUUAUUAUGUGUUAAUAGCACAUUUUAUUGACGGUACCCAUGAAGGAAGCACCGGCUAACUCCGUGCCAGCAGCCGCGGUAAUACGGGGGGUGCAAGCGUUAUUCGGAAUUAUUGGGCGUAAAGGGCACGCAGGCGGUCCUGUCAGUCAGAUGUGAAAGCCCGGGGCUCAACCCCGGACGUGCAUUUGAAACAGCAGGACUUGAGUACGGGAGAGGAAAGGGGAAUUCCUGGUGUAGAGGUGAAAUUCGUAGAUAUCAGGAGGAACACCGGUGGCGAAGGCGCCUUUCUGGACCGAUACUGACGCUGAGGUGCGAAGGCGUGGGUAGCGAACGGGAUUAGAUACCCGCGUAGUC
rnacentral:rRNA from 1 species